rnacentral:rRNA from 1 species
GGCGGCGUGCCUAACACAUGCAAGUCGAACGGGAACUUUUUUAAAAGAUUUCUUCGGAAUGAUUUUGAUUAAGUUUAGUGGCGGACGGGUGAGUAACGCGUGAGUAACCUGCCUCUAAGAGGGGAAUAACAUUCUGAAAAGAAUGCUAAUACCGCAUAACAUAUAUUUAUCGCAUGGUAGAUAUAUCAAAGAUUUAUCGCUUAGAGAUGGACUCGCGUCCGAUUAGUUAGUUGGUGAGGUAACGGCUCACCAAGACUGCGAUCGGUAGCCGGACUGAGAGGUUGAACGGCCACAUUGGGACUGAGACACGGCCCAGA